ensembl:lncRNA
GGGAGAUAGGGAGGGAGGGAGAUACAGGGAGGGAGAGAUGGAGAGAGAUAGAGGGAUAAAGAGAUAUAGAGAGGGAGAUACAGAGAGAUGGAGAUACAGAGAUAGAGAGAGAGGGAGAUAUAGAGAGAUACAGAGAGAGAGAGGGAGAUAUGGGGGGAGAGAUGGGGGGAGAGAGAGAUAUAGAGAUAGAGGGAGAUACAGAGAGAGAGGGAGAGAUGGAGGGAGAUGGAGGGAGAUAUAGAGAUAGAGAGAGGGAAAUAUAGAGGGAGAUAUAGAGAUAGAGGGACAGAUGGAGGGUGAGGGAGAUAUAGAGAGAUAUAGGGAGAUAUUAGGAAGAUAGAGAGAGAGAUAAGAGGGAGAUACAGAGAUAGAGGGGGAUAUAGAGGGGGAUAGAGAGAGAUAGGGGGAGAGAGAGGGGGAGAUAGAGAGAUAGAUAGAUAGAGGGGGAUAUAGAGGGAGAGAUAGAGGGAGAUAGAGAUGGAGGGAGAGAUAGAGGGAGAGAUAGAGAUGGAGAGAUAGAGAUAGGGGGAGAUACAGAGGGAGGUAUAGAGAGAGAGAUGGGGGAGAUACAGAGAUAGAUAUAGAGAGAGAGAGAGGGAGAGAUGGAGAGAGAUAUAGAGGGAGAUAUAGAGAUAGUGGGAGAUAGAGAUAGAGAGAGAUAUAGGGAGAUAAUAGAGGGAUAUAGAGGGGAUAUAGAGAGAUGGAGGGAGAGAGAGAGAUAUAGGGGGAGAUAUAGAGGGAGAUAGAGAUAUAGGGAUAGAGGGAGAGAUGGAGGGGGAUAUAGAAGGAGAGAGAGAUGGAGAGAUGAAGGGAUAUAGAGAGGGAGAUACAGAGGGAGAGAGAGAGAGGGAAAUAGAGAGGGAAAUAGAGAGAUAGAGGGAGAUACAGAGGGAGAUAUAGAGUGAUAGAGAGGGAGAUAGAGGGAUAGAGGGAUACAGAGGGAGAUACAGAGGUAGAGGGAGAGAUAGAGAGAGAGAUAGGGAGGGAGGGGGAUAUAGAGGGGGAUAUAGAGAUAGAGGGAGAGAUAGAGAGAUAUAGGGAGAUAUUAGGGAGAUAGAGAGAUAAGAGGGAGAGAGAGAGGGGGAUAGAGAGAUAGAAGGAGAUACGGAGAUAGAGGGAGAGAGAUGGAGGGAGAGAUAUAGAGAUGGAGAGAUAGAGAGAUAGAGAGAGAUACAUAGAGAGAGAUAGAGGGAAAUAGAGAGAUAGGGAGAGGGAGAUAUAGAGAUAGGGGGAGAUAGAGGGAGAUAUAGAGGGGGAUAUAGGGAGAGAUGGAGAGAGAGAGACGGGGAGAUAGGGAGAUAUAGGGGGAGAUAUAGGGGGAGAGAUAGGGGGAGAGAUAGGGGGAGAUAUAGAGAGAGAUAUGGAGAGAUAUGGAGGGAGAUAUAGAGAUAGAGGGAGAGAGAGAUGGAGAUACAGAGAGAGAUAGGGAGGGAGGGAGAGAUGGAGGGAUGGAGAUGGAGGGAUGGAGAUGAUGGAGAUAGAGGGAUAGAGAGAUGGAGGUGGAGAUAUAGGGAUGGAGAUAUAGAGAUGGAGAGAUAGAGAUGGAGAGAUAGAGAUGAUGGAGAUAGAGAUGAUGGAGAGAUAGAGAUGGAGAGAUAUAGAGAUGGAGAGAUAUAGAGAUGGAGAGAUAGAGAUGGAGAGAUAGAGAUGGAGAGAUAGAGAUGGAGAGAUAUAGAGAUGGAGAGAUAUAGAGAUGGAGAGAUAUAGAGAUGGAGAGAUAGAGAUGAUGGAGAUAGACAGAGAGAUGGAGAGAUGGAGGUGGAGAUAUAGAGAUGGAGAUAUAGAGAUGGAGAUAUAGGGAUGGAGAUAUAGGGAUGGAGAUGGAGAUACAGAGCGAUACGGAUAUAAAGGGAGAUACAGAGGGAGAUAUAGAGAUGGAGGGAGAGAGAGAUAUAGAGGGAGGGAGAUACGGAGGGGGAUAUAGAGGGAGAUAUAGAGAUGGAGGGAGAGAUAGAGAGAGAGAUAGAGAUAGGGGGAGAUAUAGAGAGGGAGAGACGGAGGGAGAGAUAGGGAGAGAGAUAUAGAGAUAUAGAGGGAGAUAUAGAGACGGAGAGAUGGAGAUAGGGGGAGAUAUAGGGGGAGAUAGAGAGGGGGAUAGAGAGAUAGGGGGAAAGAGAGAGAUGGAGGGAGAGAUAGAGGGAAAUAUAGAGGGAGAUAUAGGGAGAGAUACAGAGAGAGAUAGA